CCCAGGUCUGGCUCUGUGAGCCACACACUGGACCCCAGGGAGCCCAGGUCUGGCUCUGUGAGCCACACUGGGCCCCAGGGAGCCCAGGUCUGGCUCUGUGAUCCACACACUGGACCCCAGGGAGCCCAGGUCUGGCUCUGUGAGCCACACACUGGACCCCAGGGAGCCCAGGUCUGGCUCUGUGAGCCACACACUGGACCCCAGGUCUGGCUCUGUGAGCCACACACUGGACCCCAGGGAGCCCAGGUCUGGCUCUGUGAGCCACACACACUGACUGACUGACCCAGCACGGGUCCCCGUCCCGCCUCGUCCACGCCGAGCGCCACGGGCUCCGUGAGGCAGGGCACCGGCACGGGAGACGAGACACGGCAGCUGCCGGUGUUGUCCGACUCGAAUGCGCUCAGAUCCAUCGGACAAUCGAAGGAAUCAAAA